rnacentral:siRNA from 1 species
GACAGAUUUGGUGGUAACAGC